rnacentral:rRNA from 1 species
GAUAAACGCUGGCGGCGUGCAUAACACAUGCAAGUCGAACGAUGAAGCUUAAAAGAUUUCUUCGGAAUGAACUUAAUUGGAUUAGUGGCGGACGGGUGAGUAACGCGUGAGUAACCUGCCUUGUACAAGGGGAUAGCCGUUGGAAACGACGAAUAAUACCCUAUGACAUCAAAUAAUCGCAUGAUAAUUUGAUCAAAGAUUUAUCGGUAUAAGAUGGACUCGCGUCUGAUUCGCUAGUUGGUAGAGUGAAAGCCUACCAAGGCAACGAUCAGUAGCCGGCUUGAGAGAGUGUACGGCCACAUUGGGACUGAGACACGGCCCAGACUCCUACGGGAGGCAGCAGUGGGGAAUUUUGCACAAUGGGGGAAACCCUGAUGCAGCGACGCCGCGUGAUUUAGAAGGCCUUCGGGUUGUAAAAAUCUUUUGUAUGGGAAGAAAAUGACAGUACCAUACGAAUAAGGACCGGCUAGUUACGUG